ensembl:lncRNA
ACGGCAGAUAGAACGGGACACUAAGAGAGAAGGUCCAGUGUUUACUUUCCAAAACCAUGGCUGACUGUUUCAAAGUGACAGCAUGAGUUGUUCUGCAGUAAACUGAACUAACCGACAGAAGGACCCGAGGCUCCACCACACUUUUCUGAUGGCUCAGCGCUCUCUAAAGGGUCAUCGUGAUGGCAUCCUAAGUGGACCAAUUUGCUCUGUCUUUUUGGGAAUCAGAAUGCUGGUGGAUGCCUUCAGACAGGGGGGAACCGUGGCAUGAGUCAGGGAGAAGUUGAACAGAGUGGUGAGGAUCUCUGGCAGCUGGGAUGCCAUCAAAGCUGGCAGCUCGCCUGGGGUUCACUGCUCUUAAUCUCCUCCUGACCUCAUGUUCCUGGAGGAGGAAAGGGGGUGAGCUGGGUGGGGGGUAGCUGCAGGUGGAGAACCUCUCCUGGUCCCUUAACACCAGCUCCUUAACUAAGAAGUCCCAACAGCAUCUCUACUUCCCGAGGAACCCGAGAAAAGCCCAUCUCCCACCACCCAUUCUCACCACCUUUUACAGAGGGACUAUCGAGAGUGUCCUGAGCAGCUGCAUCACUAUCCGGUAUGGUAACUGCACUGUAUCAGAUCGCACUACCCUACCAGGAAUAGUGAGAACAGCUGAGAAGAUCACUGGAGCCGCUCUUCCCUCCAUCACAGACACCUAUUGCACCCGCUGCAUCUGCAAAGCCAAUAACGUUGUGAAAGACCUCACACACAGUCUUCACCCUGCUGCCUUCUGGAAAGAGGCUGUAAAUGUCACGGCUGGCGGAGUGAGCCGUGUGGAGUGGAGGAAAAGGAGGACCCAAAAUGCAGCAAACUGAUGAUACGAGUGAAGUUUAUUUACACGGUGGCAGUGGCAAAAACAGGCAAUGAAGCAUGAGUAAUGACAAACCUAAACUGGGAGAAACUAAAGAGCAAACCUGAAAUCUUACAAAACGGAGAGCGGAGCAGAGAGACGCAGACCAAGGACCAGGAUACCAAGAAACACAGACGAGCCGACCACGAACACAGACCGACACCCACACAAGGAUAUGCUUGUGAAGGUGGAAUAUGGGGGAGAGCAGAAGUGAUGAAUCGAGGACAUGCAUAUUGUAUUGAAGAAAAGAACAAUGAGCAUGCUGUUGCAUUUACCUAUGUCAGACUGUUUGAUAAACAAUAUUCUAAUGAAAGUGAGAACAUGUACAUUGCUCCAUAUUGUUACAUGUUUCAGAAAAUGUUUUGAAAUUGUAGUGCAC